UACAGAGACUGCAAGCGUUAUUCGGAUUCACUGGGCGUAAAGGGUGCGCAGGCGGCCGCGUGUGUGAGGUGUGAAAGCCUGGAGCUCAACUCCAGAAUUGCGCCUCAAACUACACGGCUAGAGCAUUGGAGAGGGUAGCGGAAUUCACGGUGUAGCAGUGAAAUGCGUAGAUAUCGUGAGGAAUACCAGAGGCGAAGGCGGCUACCUGGACAAUUGCUGACGCUCAGGCACGAAAGCGUGGGGAGCAAAAGGG
rnacentral:rRNA from 1 species